GCGAACGCUGGCGGCAGGCUUAACACAUGCAAGUCGAGCGGGCACUUCGGUGUCAGCGGCAGACGGGUGAGUAACACGUGGGAACGUACCCUUCGGUUCGGAAUAACGCUGGGAAACUAGCGCUAAUACCGGAUACGCCCUUUUGGGGAAAGGUUUACUGCCGAAGGAUCGGCCCGCGUCUGAUUAGCUAGUUGGUGGGGUAAUGGCCUACCAAGGCGACGAUCAGUAGCUGGUCUGAGAGGAUGAUCAGCCACACUGGGACUGAGACACGGCCCAGACUCCUACGGGAAGCAGCAGUGGGGAAUAUUGGACAAUGGGCGCAAGCCUGAUCCAGCCAUGCCGCGUGAGUGAUGAAGGCCUUAGGGUUGUAAAGCUCUUUUGUCCGGGACGAUAAUGACGGUACCGGAAGAAUAAGCCCCGGCUAACUUCGUG
rnacentral:rRNA from 1 species